rnacentral:tRNA from 1 species
GACUCGAGAAGCUUAUACCUAAGCAUUGGUCUUGUAAACCAAAAAAGGAAAACACCUCCCCGAGGCA